CAGCGAUUUCGUUUCCGGUGCAGUAGUUCGCCGAGAAAUUCUGUCUCUGGGCAACGUAGUCCUGUUCCGGUUCGUUCCUGAUGAUCUUCAUGUGGAUGGAGAUCUUCUCGGAAGCUCUACCGACAAACUUGUAGCUGCAGAGCGUGUUCGGCGGAUACCAGCUCUGCAACGAUUUAAUGUUCUCACGGGCGCGCUCGGUGCUCCUGUACACGAACUCGCAGUUCCUGUCGUGCUUGACGCCAGCCGGCUCCUCGGUUUCCUGCAGCGACAAUUGGAAGCCGUCGUGCAUGGUGGUGCCAUCUUCUUCGGCGAAGAACUCGAUGAUCACGUUCUUGCCGCGGGACAGGAUCCGCGGUAUGUGACCCUCGCCGCAGAACUUCGAAAUCUCGAGGACUUUGCCGUCGACAUUUUCCUGGAGGGAGAGGUAGUCGCCCACGCAGCUGCUGCUGCCCAAUUUCUCCUGCAUGCGGCCUCUCCUGACGUAUCGGUAUUCGGGAACCUGGCGGGAAAACAGAGAAUAGAGUCGGAUGAGCGACUUAUCUAGAAGACUGGCGCCCCCUGUUUUCCCAUUGGCGUACUUUAACGCGACGGUAACGUGAUGCAGAUUUUUGGUAAUAAUCGCUAUAGCUUCAGUCUGAAUGAAAUUCUGAUGUCUUGUUAUAGGUGUUUAAAUAUUCAGAAAUUAUAUUACAAUCGGAAAACUUCUGAUCAUUGCGACUACGACGAAAAUGGAUCCGACCGAUCCCCACUCCCUGGACAAUUCAUUGGUGUCCAGCCUGCAGUUCUUCGGCUCCUCUCGGCCCUCUCACCUGCAAGAUGCCUAGUUUCUCCUGGCUGACCCUCCUCCUAGCAGGCUCGUGCGUUCCAUCAGGCACGAUCUUCGCGUCGGACACGUCCUGCGGAUCCCCGUAAGGGUUCCUCCUGGGGUUUAUCGAGCCCAUGGACUUCUUAUGUACGCGUUGCGGAUGACGGAGCCGUUUCUGGACAGUUACCGACCGAGCGUCCUGCUCGCGAUAGCCGGAGCCUAGCCUGGAGCCCGGCCUGCCGAGGGACGCCGCGUCCUCCGCAGACGUCCAGACGUCCUCGAGGUCCCCUUUGCCGCGGGAAUUCAGCGGAGCCUUUGAUCCAGUGGCCUCCUUCCUCGCUUUCUUCUGUCUCCGCCGAUUAUUCCUGCCUCUCCUGAGCUUGCGCGACGUCUGCCCGAUGAUAAACUCGAGCUCCUCCUCCUGGUCCGGGCUCCUCGGUCGCCUGACCGGCUCCGUCUGCGACGGAUAGCCUCCGGACGACCCUGGGACCCUCGUUUUCCUCGCCUCUGCCACGAUCUCGACGUGCUCCUCGCAGUUCUCCGUCUGGCAGCCGUCCUGCGACGUGCGGUUCAUCAGGUCGAACAGGUCCUCCGGCUGGCCCCCGAUUCGGAAACGGCCCGUGCCCGAUUCCAGGGCGACCCGGCACCUCAGCCCGCGGGGGUAGACGCCCGGGUAACCCGGGGACGUGAGCUUACAGGUCCUUCUGUCCUUGCGGACCGCGCACUCCAGCGGGCAGGCGGAGGACGUCGACGGCGAGAAGCCGCGGUGACGUUCGGUGGCCAGCUGCGUCGGGAGGAUCGAGAACUGGGCCGAGAACAUCACCGGGUUCUCGGCGGCGAACUUCGCGUCCGAGUCCAUCGUUAUGGUCAGGUUGGGCCCCUUCCUCAGGAACAAUCUGCGAAUUUCAACGGUUACCGUUUAGUAUUAUUUUCUCGCCGCCGUUUUGUAAAAUGUAUCGCUCGUCGAACGGCGCCGCGGCGGAGCCCGAUGCAAUUUCCACGGGAGCUUUUCAGGAAUGUAAUGGAGCUCCGCGGACGGUACUUGUUUGCGCGCCGGUGAAUACCUGGCGGCUUCGUGCAAAUUGAAAUUAAAGCAAACCAAAAUGAUGGGUUUAUCGGGGCCGGCCGGCAUCUACGCGCAUUAAACGCGCGUUCAUAAGCGGCUUGGAAGUGCUGUGUUCCGAACGCCUGGCACCUGUUUAAUCCAUUAACUACCGAAGGUAAACAAGCACGGUUUGCACGGCGCACUGUAAAUAUUGUAAUCGGCCGGGUUAAUUAUUUUUCCUUAAUGACAGCGGAAUUUCUCUGUGUGCACGCGCCGCGGUUUACGCCGCGAACGAACCGAGUCCGUUCGCUCCUGGAGGAUGGAACAAACGGUUCUGUCGAUUAAGAUAGGCCGUGUGAUAUGAAAUUGG